rnacentral:misc_RNA from 1 species
CAAGAAGCCGAAAGGCUACUUAAAACCAUCGCGAACUUAUCCAAGUUGCUUCGGCGGCGCGGCUCCCCUCACGGGGGACCGCAGCCCCCGCCUCUCAGGAGGUAAGGGGCAGCCGUCGGAGGUACGAAACUCUGUAUUAUAGUGGUAUCUCUGAGUAUAAAACAAAUAAGUUA